rnacentral:tRNA from 1 species
GAGGGUAUAACUCAGUGGUAGAGUACAUGCUUAGCAUGCAUGAAGUCCUGGGUUCAAUCCCCUGUACCUCA